CUUGAUCGACCCGAGCAGCAGCGGCCGCUCCGCCGGCCGGUCCUGCCCGUAGGUGGCCAGCAACGCCUGCGCCUC
rfam:Saccharopolyspora erythraea NRRL2338 complete genome